AACUGGUUAGCUCAAUUGGUAGAGCGCUCCGCUAGAAAUUGUUAGGUCCCGGGUUCAAUACUCGGACCAGGCA
rnacentral:tRNA from 1 species